UACAGAGGGUGCGAGCGUUAAUCGGAAUUACUGGGCGUAAAGCGCACGUAGGUGGCGACGUAAGUCGGGUGUGAAAGCCCCGGGCUCAACCUGGGAAUUGCAUUCGAGACUGCAUUGCUGGAGUACGGAAGAGGAAGGCGGAAUUCCCGGUGUAGCGGUGAAAUGCGUAGAUAUCUGGAGGAACACCGGUGGCGAAGGCGGCAUCCUGGACCAUUACUGACACUGAAAAGCGAAAGCCAGGGGAGCAAACGGG
rnacentral:rRNA from 1 species